UAGUGGAAGUUUCAGCAUCAGAAGUAUUAGCAGCAGCACCCGUAGCUACAAUAGCAGCAGUGGGAGACACUGCAGCCAUAGCUGCAACUAAAGCAGUGGUCAAAUCAGUAGUGGCUUUCAACAUUUUCUAGUUCCGUUUGGUCUUUUUGAUGACUUUGAACACCCUUUUCUCUUCUUUUGUGAAUUUCCAUGUUUUUUUGCAGAAGGCACAGUCAAACCGCCCAUGCCUGUUAGGCCUAUUGUAAAAUGAGCAUAUCCGAUCAGUCGACCCAGCUCCGCGCUCACUUCCACAAGGGUUUUGUCCCCCGCCUCCACUUCCACUUUCCCCGCCUUCACCCCAACCACCACCCAAGACUCCACCUGUACUCCUCAACCUCCACAGCAAUAUGGGCAAAGGUGGGGAAAAUUUUCACAGCAUUGAGCAACGACUGUAUCUGGAGGCGCCGAAGGAGCUGCAGAAUCACGAAUAGUAGCAGCUGCAGGAGAGAUAUUAGCAGGAAUGCUUGAACCGCCCAUACAUGUUGGACCUAUUACAAUAUGGGAAUCUUCAUUCAGUUGGCUCAUCAGUCCCGCCUUCACUUCCACCAAUCCAGACUCCACCUAUUCAUUAAAAUAGUUAAAUAACUAAAUACACACAAAAUUAUUAAAAUAUAUACCUACUACUUUGUGAUACAACUGCCGGUAUGUCUUUCUAGGCCCUAUGGGAAUAAGAAAUUCCUUGCAGAUAAGGUCUGAAGAUAAGUCCCUAUAAAUAAAGCAUCAGCAUUUGAGACUAUAAAUCGAAAACUAAUAAAAUAAUUGAACGGGCUCAUGUUAAGCAUUGCUCUGAGA